rnacentral:lncRNA from 1 species
AAGGAAUCUUUGGAGCAAGCCAUCACGUCAUUUGCAUCUGUGGAAAGUACAAAGACAACUAUUGAGAAUGAGAGUCAUGAAGGUUGGGGACAAGUUGUUGACAUCAGCAUGAAGAAAGACCGUUUCGGUUUGGGGUACAAGCCAUCCUCAAAAGAAGGAGCCCCAAUCCCUAAAAAGGGUCGUAUGCAAAGAAUUCAAGAAGUAUUCCUCAGUGCAGGAUAUGUCUAUGGAGAUCAGGUCAAC